rnacentral:rRNA from 1 species
UACGAAGGGGGCUAGCGUUGCUCGGAAUCACUGGGCGUAAAGGGUGCGUAGGCGGGGCUUUAAGUCAAGGGUGAAAUCCUGGAGCUCAACUCCAGAACUGCCUUUGAUACUGAGGAUCUUGAGUACGGGAGAGGUGAGUGGAACUGCGAGUGUAGAGGUGAAAUUCGUAGAUAUUCGCAAGAACACCAGUGGCGAAGGCGGCUCACUGGCCCGUAACUGACGCUGAGGCACGAAAGCGUGGGGAGCAAACAGG